rnacentral:rRNA from 1 species
AUUGAACGCUGGCGGCAUGCCUAACACAUGCAAGUCGAACGGUAACAGGAAGUAGCUUGCUACUUUGCUGACGAGUGGCGGACGGGUGAGUAAUGCAUAGGAAUCUGCCCAGUAGCGGGGGACAACCUGGGGAAACUCAGGCUAAUACCGCAUACGCCCUACGGGGGAAAGCAGGGGAUCUUCGGACCUUGCACUAUUGGAUGAGCCUAUGUCUGAUUAGCUUGUUGGUGGGGUAACGGCCUACCAAGGCGACGAUCAGUAGCUGGUCUGAGAGGACGACCAGCCACACCGGAACUGAGACACGGUCCGGACUCCUACGGGAGGCAGCAGUGGGGAAUAUUGGACAAUGGGGGCAACCCUGAUCCAGCAAUGCCGCGUGUGUGAAGAAGGCCUGCGGGUUGUAAAGCACUUUCAGUUGAGAAGAAAAGCUCAGGAUUAAUACCCCUGAGUCUUGACGUAACCAACAGAAGAAGCACCGGCUAACUCCGUGCC